rnacentral:lncRNA from 1 species
GUAUGAUUCAUGCAGUUAGCAACAAGGCCUUGGGAUCUCUCGUGGGAGCGAAGGUGCAAAAUAUAUGCAAGAUGAUUUCCACGGUUUAUGAAUACAUAUUUCAACACAUUAUCGUUUGCUCUUUAGAAAAAGCUCAUUACGAAUCGAAUCAUCGUUUCUUAUUUUUAAAUCAUCGCUCUCUUUUCUCUGGAGCUAAAGAAUGCAGCUGACGAUUAUAGAUUGAGCGAGACAGUUUCUGGGAACAAAGGUGGGAGAGCCGCUUUUUUUGUUAACCUUUACAGAUUUCUGUUCAGCACAAUCCUUUACAUCUCUACUCUACUGAAUUUAAUGGUAUUUGCUCCCAGGUAAGUGUGUAGAGCCUAACAGUGCAAUCCAAUACCCACGUACCAGGACAUAACUGGGCCUUAUAUCUGGGCAAGCAUGUAUAGGAUUGCACUGGAAAUGUAUUAUGCAAUCUGGAAAUGAGCUGAAAACCCCACCAUUCCCACCCAAAAGCUAUGCAAGGGAUGUGAGGCUGCACAGAAACAUAAAUCAAACUUUUUCUGCUGUUAUGCCCUCAGCUCUGAGAUGCCAUCUCAUGGCAAUGCAGGAAAAUAAUUUCAUUGCCACAUUCAAAUCUCUACUCGCCCAUGUUAAAAACCUGCUUCUUAGCCUAAACUUCCUCAUAGGGUCAUUAUGAAACUACCGUAUUUUUUGCUCUAUAAGACUCACUUUUUCCCUCCUAAAAAGUAAGGGGAAAUGUGUGUGCGUCUUAUGGAGCGAAUGCAGGCUGCGCAUCUAUCCCAGAAGCCAGAACAGCAAGAGGGAUCACUGCUUUCGCUGCGCAGCGAUCCCUCUUGCUGUUUUGGCUUCUGGGAUUCAGAAUAUUUUUUUUCUUGUUUUCCUCCUCCAAAAACUAGGUGCGUCUUAUGGUCUGGUGCAUCUUAUAGAGCGAAAAAUACGGGUAUAUGCUCCUAACAAGCAGAAAGCUGAAUUCUUCAAAACUAUAGAAGAGAAACUGUUUGAUAUUUGAUGGCAAAUUAAUAAUGAUGGGUGACUUUAAUGGUGUGGUGUCCCUAGAUUUAGACUGAUCUAUAAGAAAAUCAGACUCUAAAGAAGGGAAACUACCUAAUGCUUUUUUCGACAUGGUGGCCAACAUGGAUCUAACUGAUAUUUGGUGUCUCAGACACCCACUGGUCCGGGAAUCCACUUUUUUCUCAAACGCAACAAUUCUUCAAGUAGAAUAGAGUUGUAAUGGGCUUUGAAAGACCUGACAACUAGAGUAAAAAAGGAUGAGAUCCAACCAAGGACGUUAUCAGAUCACAAUGGUAUUCUGAUGACCAUGGCAGGCUAAAUGAUGCGAUACUACAUCAUAUAGAAAUUGUUAAUAAGCGAAUAUGUUCCCUACAAGAAUUUUUCAACCUCACCCUUAAUAAAGGAACAGAUCUAAACAUGGUUUGGGAUGCCAGUAAGGCGGUAAUGAGAGGCUUUUUAAUCAAACAAAGUGCAUGCAUAUACACCCACACCCACCUCCACACACCACAGAAGCUCAAAUUUUGCUAGCCCAAAGAUGGAAAAUGAGCGAGAUCCCUAGUAAGGAAGACGGGCAACUUAAGAUGAUAGAAUUUGCAGAAGCAGCAGGUUUAACAUAGAAUAAGAGGGCAAGAAGAAUAUUUAUUCAAAGCGGAGUGGAAAAUUUUUACUGAAUUUUUAGAAAAUAAUUGUGUACAAUUGAAAACACUGGUAGUGUUUAGAUAAAUUCAGCAGUAUGGUAAAUAUUUGAAGGAUGUAAAAUGGAGAAAUGAUUAGAUUUGCUAUAGUAAAAUAUGCAGGAAUGAUGAUAAGUAAAAUGAACCAUGAAAGGGGAAGAAGGGAAGUCAAUUGUUACAUCAUAUUAUGUAAAAUGCCUUUUGUCUUUGUCCAUGGAGACAGCAUCUUAAAAAGCAGAGACAUCACCUUGCCAACAAAGGUCCGUAUAGUUAAAGCCAUGGUUUUCCCAGUAGUGAUGUAUGGAAGUGAGAGCUGGACCAUAAAGAAGGUUGAUCGCCGAAAAAUUGAUGCUUUUGAAUUAUGGUGCUGGAGGAGACUCUUGAGAGUCCCAUGGACUGCAAGAAGAUCAAACACAUCCGUUCUUAAGGAAAUCAGCCCUGAGUGCUCACUGGAAGGACAGAUCAUGAAGCUGAGGCUCCAAUACUUUGGCCACCUCAUGAGAAGAGAAGACUCCCUGGAAAAGACCCUGAUGUUGGGAAAGAUGGAGGGCACAAGGAGAAGGGGACGACAGAGGACGAGAUGGUUGGACAGUGUUCUCGAAGCUACCAGCAUGAGUUUGACCAAACUGCGGGAGGCAGUGGAAGACAGGAGUGCCUGGCGUGCUCUGGUCCAUGGGGUCACAAAGAGUCAGACACGACUAAACGACUAAACAACAACAACAAUUAUGUAAAAUGUUUAUUUUGAG